rnacentral:tRNA from 2 species
AGGAAUUUAGGCUAGACCAGACCAAGAGCCUUCAAAGCUCUAAGCAAGUACAUAAUACUUAAUUCCUG